UUGAUUAAUUUUCGGUAGAGAUUAGAUUUAGAAUCAAAAAUUGAAAUGAAUUUGACUGUGAUUUGAGAGUUGGUAGAAUUAGAAUUGGAUUCAAAGAUUAAAUUUAAAUCUCAAAAAGAAUUAAGAUUUAUCAAAAACUUUUUUGAUCAAUCCUAUAAAUAGAUUCACAGAAAACGAACAAGACACACACAGACAGACGAAAAAACACAAGAGAAAGGAAACAGAAGACAGAGCAAGACUAAAGCGAGCGAAAACCGUGAAUUUGAGGGUCACUCACACUGAAACGUGCACAAAGGAAUGAAUCGCUUAGAACCCUUUUUUCUAAAAAGAAGUACAAGUGGGACGGACUAGCUAAUAGUCCAAUUCCCGAUGGUCGAGAAAGAAGUAAUUACGCAGGGAGUUCCACAGCUGAUUAACUCCUCAAGGCGGGUAAGAGUCAAUCGCACUUUGGAGUUCCGGACGUGCCCACAGCUGAUCAAUGCACGAGGUCUUGUCAGAGCCUGGAGAUGGGGAAGAUGACUACAAUCAAGAUUGUGUUUAGAAUUUUUUUUUUUUCAAUUUUUGGAGUUUU
rnacentral:lncRNA from 1 species